rnacentral:lncRNA from 1 species
GUUGUUUCUGUUGUUGGCUAAAGCUUAACAAUGGUGCAAGAGGACCAGCCUUCUAACUACAACUCCCGGCAUCCCCGCAGGCGGGGUGACGCACUUCCGGCAGCUGUCCCGGCUUGGUUGGGGCUUUGCGCCGCUCGGAGGAACCGGGUUGGAGAGCUGUCAGCCUUCUGGGUCAUUCGGGGUCACCUUUGGCCUUGGCCCUGGGGGACGGGGCUGCGGGGUCAGCCUCAGCUGCUCGUAGGCCGCGGAGGUUUAACCAUUCAGUGGGCACCACCAUGGAAUGCAGCUUGACUUCAUCAAAGGCAGAGCAGAGCUUCUAAAGAACAUAUAUUGAUGACACAAUAUCCAGAUCCACAGGUCCACGACUGAUGGAGACGGGUCCUUUGGGAGGAGACAAUGCUGGUGAGUCCAGUGUAGUGAUUCAGGAGAGACCUGAGAGAUGGUGUGAAGAUAAGAGCUUCCGCUUGGAAGAAGGCACAGCUAACCCGGCUUUCUAGUGAGCUGUGGCUUUGGUGGUCUAUCUCAAAGUGUGCUCUCCACAGUCUCCCUUUCACAAGCUAACAAAGCUCUGUGGUGACAGCUCAUCAUGGGUUCAACCACUAGGACAUCCACAUGCCCUGUUCCUGAUCCCACCCAGUCAGAGGAGUGGCUAGUGGUGCUCAUGAUCCACCAUGGACUUUGCAGGUGAAAUGCACUCCCUUCUUUUGGAAAAGCAACAUUGUCAAUAGUGGCCCCACUCUAGCAUCUGAAAGCCAAGUGCCAGGGGUCACAGUACAGUCUAGAAAUACAAGAAUGUGAGCAAGAAUCUCAUCUGACUACUGUACACUCUCCAUCCAGGUUAAAAAAGUGUG